GUUAUUUUCGCCCCGACCAAGUGUGUUUGUGUUCCAUCUGGCGUUAUCUAUUACGUGGUGCAGCAAACGCGACUCUACACUGCGUGACAAUGGAAGCACACACAAAACAAGAAAUUGGUUCAGAAAAACGACCCCGACCAUGCGACCCACUUCUGGAGCGAACAGGAAAUGCAUUGCAGCCAAGACGCUGAACCCCGACAUAUGUGCAAUAUCCACCCAUCGUACCCAUCGUACUAGCCAAUAGAUUCCAGAUCGUGGGCCCAAGCGGUCCCCUAGAGCUAUAGAGCUAGAGCUAGAGCCCCAUCGGGGGCGACAGCUUUCAAUCAGUCAAAGCCAAAUCGAGCGUGAAACAAGACACAUGGAGCCACAUCCAAUGUUUUUUUUUCCAUUCCGUGUGUUUAUGUUCAACGUUCGAGUAGAGGCAAAUUUUAAACACGUUUUAGGUUUUGUAUUUUAAUGAGGAGAGCCCCCGAGCGUCGCUGGCACGUCGAUCAGUCGGACCGGACCGUCUGGCUGCUCGUCAACAGUGAUUAACUUUAAAGAACAUUGCCACCCAGCAAAAACAACAAUAACAGCUUUAACAGUCGAGUGUCUGAGGAUUGUUUAUACAGUUGUGUCGCAAUAAAUAGGAUCGCCCUGGGGGAACCGGAGGAGGGGUAAAGGUAGCCCCACGAAGGUAAGCGUUGUGUUGCACCACCACCACACCACCCCCACAGAUAAUGAUUCUUUGUCCUUUGCACUCACUGGUGGGAGAGGGAGUGGGACCGGGCACAUCCGAUGCCGGACGCGACACGAAGGGCGGGCGUUUAACGAAACAAGAAAUGAGAUAAUAAUAACAAAAAGCGCACAAACGCAGUGCUGCCUUCAACAACAACACAACGAAGAACAAACACAAAGCAGAGAGCGGAAAAUACACGCGGGGGUCCAAAGGGGGCAGAAGGCGGGGCUAUGGAGCAACAAUGCAAGUGAUGCGCCGCAAGAUACACUCGUAGACAAAUGGAUGGCAGAAGGCGAGAAGGAAAAAAGGCAGCACACACACAAUCACCGUCACAGAACACAGAUACACUCGCACACAGAUGCAACCACGAAUGCUUGCUUGCUGCCGCCGAUUCUAAACAAGUUGAUGAACUCUGCUCGCCAGCUACGGCGUCAGCGUCAGCGUCGGCAUCAGCGUCACAGAGAGGAAGAGAACCACAGUUCAGUUUUAUUUUUCACAAGUACAUGGGCAUAUGUAUCUGUACAUAUGUGGCUGAGGUUUUUGCAGUUAACCAACUGCACACGCACACACACAGACACUCACGGGUAGACGGUGAGAAAACAACGUCGCGACGGGGCUGCUGGCUUGUUGGUACGACGCGAGCGCACACGUUGCUUUUCAGUUUUUUCGCUCAAAUAUAACAAAAUACCUAAAUGCUAACUGAAUUCCGUUGCUUUUCCGGCGAGUGCUAAGAACGGAAUGAGAAUGGACAGCCAUAGCAAAGAAUAAUUUUACAAGAUACAAGAUACAGCAGAGGCAGCGGCAGCGGCAGCAGCAGCGACUGCGUGGAACGCGGAACAGAGCGACGUCGAAACGGAAUGGAACGACGCGACCAAAAAACUCACUCAACCAGUUAUCGCUGAGACAAAGAACGAGUGCGAGAGAGAGGCAUGGCAGGCAAAAUCUAGUUUCACAGUGGAAUGGAGUGGCACUCGGAACAUGAUGUAUGUAUUUACAUCUGUAUGUAUGUAUGUAUAGAUAGCUAGGCAGCGUUGGAAUCGUUGGCAGCGCAGCCGGCGAUGAGACUGACCUCUGACAACCUCCUACACAGACACGCACACUAGUGUAAGGAGAGCGUACCAGCGCCAGAACAUAAAUUGCGCGAGGGAGCAGUGCACUCCAGAGCAAUGCAAGUGAGAGAGGAGUAAACGAGAGAGUGUGUGUGUGUGUGUAUGUGGGAACAGUGGGAGCAAAGGGAAGAAAUUUCAGUGGGCACGGGAAACUUCUUGGGCACAAAUGCAAAGUUUUCCAAGAAUGAGUCAAAGCUUAAAAUUAAUUUUUAUUUAUUCAUAUGUAUAUGUAUUAUAUAACAUCAUUUAUUUCUGUAUUGUCCAUACAAUUUGCAUAAACAGGAAUUGAGUUGCAGGUACAAUACAAAGCAACAACAAAACCAGCCGAGCUGAACUGUUAUUUCUUGUUCUCUUUUGGUCUUUCUCUUCGA